GAUAAUUUAAAAUAAAUACCCAAGGACUAAAGCCCAUAGGCUAAAACUUAAUAAUCGUGGCGGCCGGUUUAAUUCAGGGGAACUUACCUACUAAACGAUAACCCACGAGAUAACUAUCUUUACUUUAAAGCUUGUAUACCGUCGUUUAGUACUGAAUUGAGUUCAAUACGAAAUCUUAAAGAGUACCACAGAUUAAGGUGCAGCAUAUAGUAAAGAAUUGGCGAGUUACAAUAAAUAGUAUUUUCAGAAAUAUUGUUUUAAAUAAUAUAGAAGUUGGACUUGAAAGUAAAUUUUAAUUAUUAAUAUAAGUUGAAUUAUUCUAAAGCUGGUGU
rnacentral:rRNA from 1 species